rnacentral:lncRNA from 1 species
CCUGCCCCGCGGCCUGGACCCGCGACUCGUCCUGUUCUGGGCUGGACAGGAGGCCGGAGAGGACUCGGGCGCCCAAGGUGGAAACUGAGACCCAGAGAGCCGUGACUUGACUGAUCCCACAGCCAGGAAAUGGUGGAGCCUGGAUUUGAACCCCAGCUUUUAAGAAGAAGGUGCCACUGUCCUGGAAGAACUCUCAGGACAGCAUUAGUGUCUCAGGGAUCCCCCUAAUCGGAGGGGCCUUAAGCCUAAUCAUGAUUGUCACUGAAGAUCCAGGAGGGCUUCCUGGAGGAGGAGGCAGCUCCAUUCUGAAAUGCCAAGGGUACAGCUUUAUUGGGACAGCCAGUGUCUCUGAAUAUGUAGGUUUUGCACAGAGCUUGUACUGCCCCAGGGCCUGUACACUGCCUGUCCCCUCUGCCUUGUGCACUCUUUCCCUAGAUGUCCAAAUGGCUCCUUUCCUCACCUACCCCAAAUCUCAAUUCCAGUGUUUCCCCAGCCUCCCCUCAUUUCAGUAAUCACUCUGCAGUGAGCUAGGAUUGCGCCACUGCACUCCAGCUUGGAUAAGAGAACAAGACCCUGU